rnacentral:lncRNA from 1 species
UCACAUCAAAGAAUCUUUUUAUGGCUGCAGAAGUAGUACAUGGAAAGAGGGAAAGAAAGAAUUUUGUUGAUUAGUGAAUGUGUUUUCAUACGUACCUUUUCUUAUGGAAAUUGAUCUUGUAUACAAAAGAAAUUCUUAAAUUGGAUUUUUACCAAAUUUCCCUUUGUACAAAAGAAUAUGUAAAAACCUUUAUUUUCUCUGAAAAAUUCAAGUCAAUCAAAAGAUUUAGAGAAAGAGAACACUUUCUAGAAAAUGGUUAUGAAACGUACCUUUGGAUUCUUUUAUGCCAAAAU